AAAUAAUCCAUUUAGAAGCUGAAAUCAUUCCUCCAAACAUACCCAAUAACUCAAACCCAUAAUCUCGCCCCCAUUUAUGCCCAAUUACUCCUGCCACAUUUACCCCUAUUACCCAGGUCACUAUUACAACUUUCAAACCAAAAAUUGAAAAAUUAAAACCCUAGAAUCUCCAUUACACACAAGAAAUCCUCAAAUCCUAUCUCAAUCCUUGUUUAUGGAAUGUCUAUAUCCACAAAAAUCGAUUUCGAGCACUAAUAUCUGGGCAUAUUGAUAUUCCUGCGCUGUUAUUUAAACCCGUGCGUGAACGAUUCACCAGAAAAGUUGAUGUCGCAAUGAGAGAUGAAUUGGUGAUGCAAAUAUUCCAUGUAUGGAUGCCGGAAGAGGAGACGUUUUGGAAGAGGAAACCUGACUUUCUGGAACCUUAUCUUUUCCUAGAUUUUAUGUAUUCAGUAGUUAUUCUCGAGAUAGCCAAGAAUGAAUAGUCGGCAGGAGUUUUUAGAUAUCAGUUUGUUUUGUAUGCAAAACCUUGUGGUUCUUUGGAGUGAUUCCAAGUUCCAUUUCCAUUGUUAAUCCCAUCAAUUGAAAUAAAUUUUUUUGCUUCAUUUUUUCCCGCUGCUUCAAUUGGCUUUUAUGCGUGAGUGAUUCCAUUGUGGAAAUCAUUCCAUCAGUCAAAGAAUUUUCAGGUGGCAGGACCUCGAGGUUAUGAUGGCUGAAAAAUGAUAGAUAUAUAUGUGAAUCUUCCAGCCCUCAAGACCUCGAGGUUAUGAUGGCUGAAAAAUGAUAGAUAUAUAUGUGAAUCUUCCAGCCCUCAAGAAAUUAGAUGCAAUGCUAAUUAGCAUCUUGGAUGGUUUUCGUGGCAUUAAGUUUUACUAUUUUGAGAGUGGGAUGGGUGUUGCUGAUGCGGAACACGUUGAAGCAAAUCCUUUGUUCCCCA
rnacentral:lncRNA from 1 species